CAGUGGUAUCAAAAGUAGGCCUAGACAGGAGGGUGGUGGUGGUCAUAUCAACCUGCCAUGUAUUAAUCAGCUUUGCCUGCGGUGUCAUGUGUCAGGGUGAGUGACCAUACUCGAGAGUGAAACCGAAUCAAUAAAUCGAGACAAUACUCGUCUCGGGAAGGCGAGGAUGAAAUGCAUGUUAGCGUUAAGGAGUCGAGGUAAUCACCUCAGCAUUGAAGAUCCGAUAAGGGUCAAGAUGAACACCCACAGUCACCCUUUUUUUAUAGUCAAAAAGGUCUAUAAACUCGUAAAAGUGUACCUUUUUCAGUCAUUUUGUUGAAUUCUGAUGUUUUAAUAGCAAGAAAUGCAUCCGUGCAAGCAGUACACUUAAAUUUUCAAAAGCAAAAGUAUAGCACAAUCUUUGGCACCAAUCGAGAAAAAAUUAAGGACCUUUUGCAUUUUGAAACUUUACUAAUGUUCAUUAUAUAUCGACCUAAAUUCCUAAGCACCGUUGUUAAAGAUUACAAUCGUAAUCUAGAGAAAAUUGCUCAAGUCUGAAACUGAAAACGUCUUUCAAUUUUCAUUCAAUGCACGCCAUAGCUUGUGAGACAUUUUUGCCGUUAAAAAUCUAAGCGUACCAAUCGCAUAGUUACACCGGAAUUCGACAAAAUCACCAAAAAGAAAAAAAAAAACUCAAUUGAAUUUGGUAACCUUGUCGGUGACAUUUUUACCAUACCAUCAACUCUAAAGUACUAAUUGACUAUCAAUUAUUGCAGUCUGCUCCAAGUCCAAUAAGCAAUUAACAAACACAUAAAGUCACCAACUCUGGGGGGGCUUCACAUUGAAAACACAUGUUCUCGCUGUAGAAAUGCAUUAAACUAACAGUAAAUUCAAGACAUAAAUAUUACAUUACCUGAUCCGAGAAUAGCUGAUAUUUGAAAUAAAUCAUACACAUGGCACCAUGUCAUUUCCGUUAUGGAACAAAAUGACUAAACAAGAAAUCGGUAGCGUAUUAAAGAAAUGGUUUUAGUAGAAAAAGACACCUGAAAAGGACGCCUUUCUACUUUCUACUUUCUACUUUCUGCUCGCCGUUCUUGAAUUCCAUAACUGGCGCAAGAAAAAAGAGCCCAUUUAAUUUAAUCAGUUAGUGAUUAAUUAAAACGCUAAGGUUUGACGUAAAUAGAGUCAGGAAGGUAGAAUUUUUGUUGGGUUUUGAAGAAGAAGAAGAAGCAAAAUGGACAUGAGUAAUGGCAAUGGUGAUGGUGAUGUAAAGGAGUCUUUGUUGGUGGAGGGGAAGACUCAGCUGGGCGGAGCUGGGUGGCGCAGCCGGUUGUACUCCGUGAAUUCACUCAGGAAUGAGUUUAUCUCAAGGCUGCCUGAUAAGGUCAGGGGUUGUGUUGAUCUUGAGUCUUCUUCUCCUGUUGAUCUCUCCAAAGCCUCUGGCUUGACUCAAGGUUUGUUUCUUCUUUCUUUCUGGGAAUUUGAAAUCUGUAUCUUUGUGCUUCACUGCUUCUUUCAGAGUUCUUGAAGAAAGGUAAGUCCACAACGGGGGGAAAAUGGAAACUUGGAUAUAUCUAAAGCUUAAAUACUUGGAAUUCAAAGCUGGGAGAGAAUCUUUGGGAAUAGGAAUAAACUUUGGCUAAAACUUUAAGAUUUGUUAUGUGAUUGUAUGGCAAGAUUCCUGGGAAAGAAGAAAAUUUUCUAGGAAAGGGAAUAAGAAGAAAAAAGAUGCUAAUUUUGGAAUAAUGUGUGUCUGGUUGUGUGUUUACAGAAUAUAGUCCAUGCAUCUUGUCGUAGAAGAUUUGAUUAGGCAUCGGAUUUGCAAGUUAUCCUUUUUCUUUUUCAGGUUUUUGUCUUUUGGUCUUUCGGUCAUAUCUAAAGUUUCAGAAUGGUGAAUUGAACCUUUAUAAAACUGUUCUUUUGUAAAAAGCAAAAACUAGAAGGGGAAAAAGGGUUUGUGCUAAGAAAUUGCGCGACCAUAGUGAUGGAUUCUUAACACAAUCUUUGCCUAGACAGGAAUUAGUUGUUUUUCUAGUAGAUGAUAGAUUAGAUGGAUUCGAAAUUCACUUUCUUUAUGGCUUUGCUUAUUCUUUUGGUCAUGACCUUGCUCUAAUGAUGAUUGUAGUGCCAAACAAUUUCAUAUUGCUUCAUGUCAGUUGAUGUCUUGUCUAGAGAUAAGAAGGUUAAACAAAUGGUUAAGGUUUAUAUACGUAUACUGAACUUGCCAGCAGUAGCAGAAAUUAUUGAAAAAGUGGAACUUGUGACAAAUCUUGAAAAGGGAUGACAAUGGGAAAAGAAUGGAAAAUCCUCAUACAAGCAUGAGUUACAGAUUCAGGAGGAGAGAUUAAAACCAAGGUAAAUCUGGAUGACCGUUAAUUGAGAGUCAAUGGCUUUCUGGUCUGAAUUGAGCUUCAGAUGCAUACCAAGCAUCUUGUCAUCAAGAAUUCAUUAUGAAUAAGCUGAAUUUCCCUUUUCACUUGUCAUAAGUUCUUCCAAGCAUCUUUCUGUUCUCUCUUUUUCUUUCCUUGUAUGUUGGAUUACCCUAUGAACUUGGAGUAGAUGUCAUCACAAUGAUGGCAGAAUCUUGUGCCAUGGAAUCCGUUAACAUAAUCUGGCAGAAGGGCCCUACAGAGGAAAUUAACUGAAAAGAAAAAACCGAAAGAUUUGCACACUGCUUUUAGUAUCACUUUUGUCAACAGCUUGUCUUUUCUUUUAUUUUUUGCUUCUGCUUCCUUAUAUCUGGUCCUUUCCAUAAUCUGAGAAACCCAAAAUGUAGGAGAAAAGGAUUACUAUGAGAGCCAAUUUGCCAACUUAAAAUCAUUUGAGGAGGUUGACGCUAUAGUGACAUCUGACAGACUUGAUGAGGAUGAUGUGGAAGAACAAUCCAAACAAGAACGAGCUAUGAAAAUCUCUAAUUAUGCAAAUAUUGUGCUGCUUCUAUUAAAGGUGACAUCUUGCUACUUAAUGAUGAACUUUGUCUGAAGUUACCUAGCACAAUGUAAAUCAUUUCCAAUGUCAGUCUCCGAUAGGAUUUCAAUUUUUGCAUUGGUUAAAAGGUGUUCAUUUAGGGCUUUAUGCUGUACAAUUUGCUGAUUGGCAUUUCAUUUCAAUUCAAAUGCUACAUGGCUGAAAUUAUUUGAAUUAAAAUGUCUAUCCUAAAUAAAUCUAUUUUGGAAGAACUUGUGAAGAAAUGUUGACAUUAUGUGUUAGAAUGGGUCGCAAUUUGUUUUGCACGUUUGGCUUGUGAUUUUUGGUGAUAGGAACUUUAUGCUUCUGAUUACUCCCUGGUCCGUCUUGGACUACAUAUCACCUAGAAGGAGUAUGGUACAAGCAUUAAUAUGAGAUCUCUAAGGGAUGAGAAAGUAUUCCGUCAAGGCAAGGCUGGUGGGAGUUCUUUGAUGAGAAGUGAGAUUACCGUAGCAGGUGAUAGUGCACAGCAAGCAUGUGAAGCGAUGAGCCCCUUGCUUGAAGAGGAUUUAUCAUACUUAUGAUAUUUUCAAAGAUGUGAAGCGGACAUCUAAAUUGAUGUCUUAACCAGUGAGAGGGUGCCUUUGAUCCAAAUCAUUACAGCUCAAAUGUCAGUGCAACGAAACUUGGACUUUUAUCUACAUUGGGAAGGGCAAGCACCCUGAAGACUUCUCCUGAGGUCAAUGUGCUAUUGAAGCCUUAGCCAUAACUACCAAAGAAUGGUUCCAAACACUUUUGGACUUUCUUUUCCAGCAUCUCGACUUGUUUAAUUCUAUGACUAUUUGACCUUCCUUUCUGAUAAAGACAAAGAAAAGAAGUCUGUAAGUGAGAGUCCUAUUGCAGACAUCAUUCUGACAUCUUAUAUCCAACUCUUUUUUUUUCCCCCCAAUAUGCAAGGAAGUAAUGGUUGAUUAAUUUGUUCAACUACCAAUGGUGAAUCAAUAUUGUGCUUGUAUAAUACUCAAUAACUAGAUCAGGAUAUUAACACACUAUUUUUGACUUAUGUGGAAAUUCCUAAACACAACAGAAUAUCAACAUUAAUCAUGCACUCUGGGCAUUCAGUAUUUUUUCUUCUAAUCUCAGCAGUUCCUUCUGCUACUACCUGCAGAUUUUGCUAGUACUUGUAAUUUCUUGAUCACUACCUAAUUGUCUCCAAAAGGCUCCUAUCCUUAUGAUUAAUACCAGCUUCUCUUUAACAAAGAUGAAUUUUCUUUACUUGCAUAAUGCCAGUGGUUCGUGUAGGAGCACCUGGUGCUGGAAGUCAAGCACAUGCCUGUUGCGGGAUUUGGUUUUUGUUCGUAAUAAAGUAGGAGUACUGAAGGUUCAUUUAUUUGACCUAAGACCUGUAAAUGCAUCCAGAAGUCCACUUAAGCCAUUUGUCUCUUGCAAUGCAUAAAGGGAUGGAGGUUGCAAACAUGAAUACUUCCAUUGUCUUUGUCGGGUUUCAAGAACAAAAGGAGCUUAUUAUCUAUUCUGUAAAAUAAAAUUGUCUUGAUUGUCUAUUUUGCAGGCUUUGUUCCAUAAGGUCUUGAGAUAAUAUGAUGUUGUUGGAACUAUAUCUGACACAAACACAAUUACAGAUAUAUGCAACUGUGGAGAGUCGGUCCCUGGCAAUUGCUGCAUCAACACUUGAUUCAUUGCUCGAUCUGAUGGCUGGUGGCAUACUGUGGCUAACUCACCUGUCUAUGAAGAGCAUAAACAUUUACAAGUAUCCCAUUGGCAAAUUGAGGGUCCAGCCUGUGGGCAUAAUUAUUUUUGCUGCCGUCAUGGCAACACUUGGUACGUCCUCAUCUAACUUUCCUUUAUCCCUAAACAAUUUUAUCGUUCAUGACUCACGAGGUUCAUGUUGCUGUUAUAAUUCCUCCCAGUUGGUCAGUUGAAGCUCUGAGAUUCCAUAGAAAAACGAGGAGCAAGCAAGAAAAAAUUAACGCUAAUAUCUUUAUGAAUAUCAUUGCAUUAAAUUCACUCAUUAAAGUAAUAAUAAACAAGAGUUUCAUGUUUAAUACAUUUCAUUGAGGUUAUCCUUGUGAAAUCAUGUUGUGCAUUUGGUUAUAGGUUUUCAGGUGUUGGUCCAGGCUGUAGAACAACUAGUUGAAGAUAAACCUUCUGCAAAGAUGACCGACGAUCAGCUAGUGUGGUUGUACUCUAUCAUGAUAACUGCCACUGUAGUGAAACUUGCUCUCUGGGUUUACUGCAAAAGCUCUAGAAAUGAGAUUGUCCGUGCAUAUGCGAAGGUAUUUAAACUGUCUUUGACUGUACUCCUUUCUUUUCUUUUGAGCAAAUUCCCUGACUUGUUUGAGUACCACUUUUCAGGACCACUAUUUUGAUGUGGUAACAAAUGUGGUAGGACUGGUUGCAGCUAUACUUGGUGAUACGUUCUACUGGUGGAUUGAUCCUGCUGGUGCCAUUGUUCUUGCUCUUUAUACAAUCACCAAUUGGUCUGGGACUGUACUAGAAAAUGCUGGUAGACUGUCUAACGAAUUUCUCCUACUUAAGACGCAUUUUUCUUCUGUGCCACCUGUAGAAUAAGAUAGAAAUGUUAGCUUUAGUAUCAGUUGAAUUCAAACAUCCACAAUUCAUUGAUAUUCUUUGUUAGCAAAAGAACUAUCACUGGACAAGCAAGUGCUUAGGCUCGUUUGUGGUCAUUGUCACUCAUCCUUCUUAGCUUCUUGGACUUUUGUUUCUUGUACAAGGGUAGCCAACUCUAGAAAGUUAGAAUCUAGAGAUCAUCCUUGCAAGUAAUUUUAUUGCUUAUUAUAAUCUAUUAUUUAUCUAUGGUGAGCAAUGCAUCCCCUUCCAUAGGAAAUGACUCUUUGAUGAGAUCAUUUGAGUAAAAAUUUUGCAGCACUGUCUGUUAUUCCAGAUGUUGAGAGUGAAAAUUGAACUGUUUAGUCAAUAUCACUAUGAACAUGUUUUUUGAGAAGAAAUCCUUAACCUGAUAUGGGGUUUCUUAAUGCAGUGUCACUAGUGGGACAAUCUGCCCCUCCUGAAAUGCUGCAGAAGUUGACAUACCUUUCCCUCAGACAUCCUCAAGUCAAGCGGAUUGACACUGUCCGGGCAUACACGUUUGGCGCCCUGUACUUUGUUGAGGUUGGUCAUUUACAAGUCAUCAUCUCGCAUUGUGAACUAGUUUCGUUGGUUUUGUAAUUUCCUUUGUCCUCCAGAUUAAUUUUGUCGAAUCUUUUGUCUGCCUGUUGAUGAAAACAGGUUGACAUUGAACUCCCGGAAGAUUUGCCAUUGAAGGAGGCACAUACGAUUGGGGAGACCCUGCAAAUCAAGCUUGAGAAACUUCCUGAAGUUGAACGUGCGUUUGUCCAUCUUGACUUUGAAUGUACACACAAACCUGAGCACUCUAUUCUCAGCAGGCUCCCCAGCACCGACCCGUGAAUUUUCAGUUCGUGAAGUUAAUCAGGGACAGGUCCUUUGGAAAGAUCAAUAGUAGCUUUAGAAUCAUCAAAAUAGCGUUCUGGUUGAGUAUCAAGGAUCUUUCAAACAUUGUGAAAGAUGUUUUGGGCUGAAAGCGUGAUUUGAAUUUUUUCAUCGGAGUCGCAGCAAAUGGCUUUAUAACUAGAAAAAUUCCCGGCUUGAAACAUGGUUUUUUAAGUGGAAAUGGCAGGCAAUGCAGGUCCUGCCUUUCUCUUUCCAUCUAGAUCUCUACUAUAGCAGUUUUGCUUCGAUAGCUGGCCAUAUUGAAAGAGAAUCUUGUACAAUGAGUUGGCUACCAAAACCCCGGAAUCAGAAUCUUGAGUAUACUCUUGAAGUGAGCUUGCAAUACUUUUUUUUUCGGAUGCGAUAAAUUAUAUUCUAGACCUACUCUUACACCAAAGGGAAAGAGUGGACCCAAGAAGGUCAAUGGGGAACUCGGAGGGGAUUGAACCGUCAUCGAACUAGACGAAUGCCUUUGCACCUGCUAGUGAAAUUUUUACAAAAUUCUGAAUAAAAAUGCAAGUCAAGGGAUUCAAUCCUUUAACUUACAUCUAAGGUCAAUUACGUCUAAAGUAGUUGGUUUGGAACUUGCAAUACUCUUCAUGCUUUCUCUCAACAUUAAUAGUUACCUAUCCUAGAUUACUUUUGCAUUGUGAUUUUCUACAGAAAAAAUUUUAUGUUUUUUGUGAACAUAUUUUUCAAUCAUUUUUUUACUUCACAUGCAUCAAAUUGUUAUAGUACAUUCUUCUACAAAAAGUCCUAAAAACAGCAAUCGAAACGGUAAAUUCUGAGCUAAAGCUACAUGCCGACAAGAUUUAGUCAUUUAGAUCGACAGAAAUGUCAGUCUCUUUCAAAACUCAAUGACUGCUAUUUCCUUCUCCAAUAUCGAAAGCGUGUCCAUUUGCGUUAUUUGAAGGUCACAAACUAUAAGCCCAUAAGCAAGGAAGGCGUGGUUUGAGGUGUUGUUCAGGAAUAGCGCCUUCAAGUUGGUUUGGCAGGAAUCAACUUUUCCAGAAUAAGCUUGGGGGUAACCGAAGUGAAAAAAAGUAAAUAAAUCACUAAGAAAAAUACAGAAAUUUGACAUCCCCAAAUUCAUGGAGCCCUUCAUUCAGAACAUGGAUGUACAUAUGUAAUAAAGCAUGAAAGUUAAAGCUUGGAAGAUGGUUUGCUGCUUUCCUCCCUUUGCAGCAGUUCAAGAUGAUCAUGUUCAUCCCUUCUGCCUUGAUGACCUUCUUCAUUACCAUUUUUCCCCUUUCUUUCACCCCUUCUGUUGCUUUCAUUUCCUACCUCCUUUGUGUCAUCCUGUUCAGCCUGAACAAGUAUUUGCAUAAGAAACAAUAUUGAAGAGAUUAUUCUGGGAAGAAAACUCCUUAAAGCAACUACUUGUAGCUUGCAAGGCUACUACAUCUUGCAGGAACCAAAUAGAAUAUGAAUGCUAUUAGGUGAGAGGAGAUUGCCUUACCAUCAACAAUACGAAUACCAAUAGGAAUAACACUCUUUUCAAUUUUUUUGGGAGCAAGUCAUUGAUCCGGUUAUGCAGAUUUAUCCAAAUACCUAGUUGAAUGAAUGAGAAUUAUGGGUCCUAAACCCCUUAACCAUACCAUGCUUUUGCUCAUAGCAAUUAAACCAACCUUUUCUUUGGCUUUGCCUGGAGGAUGCUGCUUCUUCUGUGGUCCAGUUUCCACUUUAAGUGCAUAUGCUGGACAGUAUAACUCUCCCUGUCCCACUUCAUCUGUUGAUGAAGAUUCAGAAUUCCUCUUGGCUUCCCUCAUUCUAUCUUUGCUUUUCUUUUUCUGUAUUCCUUACAUAAAAACUACCAUGGAAAAUGGUUGCAUGAGAAAGUCUUAUUAUAACACUUGUUUCUGAAUUUCAAACGGUGCAAACAUUAGCAUGCAGACUCAUCCCUUGCUGACACCACCUGUCCAUUUGGCUGCUGCAUGCUUUAUUGGAUUUUGUCUAUUAGGUCUUUUCUCCUCUUGGGUUCUUUUUGGCUCUAGAACCUUGUGGUGAGUAGCGGUUUUUGCUAAAAAUAGAGAAAAUUUGAUAAGGUCUUGGCCCUUUAUAUCCUACCAGUCAUGCUCGAAUGAUUAUUCAAGGUGUUUGACAAACUGGAUUUCUGGUCUCAGCAAUUGACUUUAAAAAAAAUAAAAAGAAAAGAAUUCUAACAAAGAGUGAAAUGUAAGAAGUUGCAGGAAAGAAGAAGGAUUUGAACUUAGGAGUAAGAAGCUUAGAGGGGAGGAGAAUUUGAACUCAAGAUCUCUAAUUCCUGAGACUUAACCUCAACAAACGACUUUCCAAACUGCUAAUAUUAAAAAUUUAUUCAAGACAAGUAAGAAUUACAUUAUAUUUGCCUUGCACCAGUUGCAAUGUGUGAGCUACAGAGACCAAUUGCCUCUCUACCUCAAUAAUAAAAAAAAAAAAUUUCUUGAUAAUCAUCCUCGAGAAUAAACUUAAAAUGGACUUGAGCAUAAUCGGGACUUUGGUUGUUCAGAUUGCAGUGCAUUCUCAUAGUGAUCUUUGGCUGUCAACAUCCCUGCCCAAAUGUUUGUGCAAAGUAAAAAUGUAUUGAUUUUUCAUAUAGAAUGAUACUUAAGAUAGCAAAAGUCACUGUGACUGAUCUAGAAAGCUUACAAAGCUUAAUAACAAGAGGGAGUCUACAGCCUGCAGCAAUUUUAGAAACUAAAAGACACAUCUCUACAUUUAUGAAAAGCCUCAGGAAAGAUCAGUUUAUUUACACCGACGUGCUUGAAAUAUUAGAGAAAAAUAAAUUACAAAUGUAAAGCCAAAACUGUAGCAAAAUCGGGAUACACAGGAGAGAACAUAUAGUUUCUCAAGAGGUCAUGUUCAAAGUGCAACAACCAAUAUCUACUCUAUCCACAGCCGUUUGCCCUCAGUUGUGUGCCAUUCCACCAACUUGUUACUCUGUAAUUCCACUGUUAACUGCAUUACAAGUUCAUGCCUUUGAGAGUAAACGAAGAGGCAAGAAAAUUGAUAAUUGGAAGAAGAACAAGGAAAAGAAAAACGGACACACGGUUUAAGUAAAGAAAGUGUAAAACCACUGAAUGAAAAAGACAAUAGUUGAUGAGCAGGGUUAAAAUAUAACAACUGAUGGAAAACGUGAAAAAAAAGAAUGAUUGAAAAAGAAGUUACCUAAGAGUUCGGCAACAAGCGACCAUUAUACAUCUUGUCAAGCAGUUGUUUAGCAUCUGGCCUUCUGAGCAGACCUUUGUUGUUGGGCAAACCAGUCCCUAAACAUACAGGACACACGAGUUUCCCUCUACCUGCAAUGAAGUAUCGAAUAUCAAAGCUUAACCAAUGUCGACGCUGUUUUGGAUCAGUACUCUUCUGUACAUCUCAAAACCACCAUUUUCCUUAAAAAUUCAAAGUACCACUUUAAUAUAUUUGUCACUCAUUCCUGUUCUCUGUAACUUGGGACUCGAUCAACGCUGUGUUUUUAUGCAACCAUACAAGUGUAAAACAUGUACGUGAUGUGUAUAUGGAUACCUUUUUUUUUUUCUUGUAUAUGGAUAUCUGUUUUACAUUGAAAAGCAACUUUCUCUAUGACAUGUCAGUAUAGGAGGAUGGUAGUGGACUCUGAAAGCCACCAUAAAUGUACAAUAUAAUCUCUAUUGAUUAUGUAGAUUUUGGUUUGCAAAUGGAAGAUGUAAAUUGCUGGAAAACAAUUCAAGGAGAUAUUCCUUCAAAAUCACCAUUUUAAGGUGGUGAAACAUUGAUCACAAACAACCAUGUUCACCAAACAGCUAACUUGUCUCUCCAUGGCUAGUGGGUAAUGUCAUAUUAGUGUAACUGCAUAGUAAUAACCAUUCUACCAAGUAACUCCCUGACGCAAAUGUUGUUUUUGUAAUCUGUUGCAGUUCAAUUCUAGUAAAAUCUUUCAUUGUAAUUACAGGGUUUUCCUCAUCAAUCUUCUGAGGAACAAUUCUAAAAAAUUUCCAUUGAGAGUUUAAUAUAGACCAGCAUUGUUCUAUUCUCAUAACAAUUUCUUUUUCCUUUUUUAACAUAAGUGUCCAAUUUAUUGGUUCAGUAUCAACGAAACCAGUAUAUGCAGACAUGAACCACUCGUCAGCAAAUCCAUCUUCCAAAACACGACCUAAAAGUAGUCGAAAGACAAGAGAAACAUAUUCCAAAUUCAGGCUUCACUUUUACUAGAAGUCAAAGUUCCAAUAUUUGGGUGUUCUCCCUGAAAGUUUGAUCAAGAACAUCAAAAGGUACAGAAACCUGCCUGCCUCACAUAUGCGAAAAUGCAAAUCUAGUAAAACAAAACAAAUCAUUUUGAUGUAAAGUAAUAAGGGAUAAAAAUAUCCUGCUGAAUGACUGAAACUUUCUGAACUCAUAUGCAAAAAUGUCUAGCAUCAUUUCUGGUAGCUUUCUUUCAAGUGAACAUGUAAUAUAGUAAAUAAUCAGUAACAUAAUGCCAUCUUUACACAGAUACAAUGCAGUGAGGCUACUAAAGUUAAGUGCCCUAACUGGCUUAUAGCACAGAAGUUUUCAUGGAAAUCAAGAAUUUAUGAGUAGUGAAAAUUUGCAUACCAUAACAAUUGGGACACUCAGUGAACUCGUAAACAUCUUUCGCCCGUUUUCUGUUGAGAGCUUUCCAUUUUCCUGUACCACCACACAUAUCACCUAAUAAAAAGCAACAACCAUCUUAUAGGUACAUAUUGUCAACGUGAAACUAAUUAUAACUUAUAUUUGCAACAAUAACGUAUCUGUUUCAUUGACGUGCUGUAUAUAAGGCAUUUGACUAUGAUUAAUACGAUAUACUUGAGACAUAGAAAAGUAAUGCAGGAAUCAUAUAUUUGAAAUAUUUGCAGAAGAUUACAAAGAAUUGUAAUACAAAACCAAAUUUAGUUUUAAAUGUACCCUGUCAAUGUUAACUGAUACAUGUAUGGCAUAAUAGAGUAUGAUACUCUACAUGCAGCCCUAGAGAAAAAGACUUGAACAUAGUCGGUGGAGGUGAAAUGAACAUGUAGGCAAGAAAAUAUGUGUCAUGUCAUGUGUCAAAUGAGCAUUGUCAUUGUAAACAACGAGGUUCAUCUUCACAGCUCAGCCCAGUUGCAUUUCCAUAGUUCAGUAAACCAUAUGUGUUUUGUAUAAUGAGCCAUAUCUGGGAUAUGGUCUUUUGAAUUUUGAUGAAAAAUAAUUACCAAGAGAUUUGUGUUGCGAUUACAGCUUAUGUACAAAGAACCUUAGGUAAUGAAGAUUCAUUUAAUUUAAGGAACUGAAGAAAAAUAGCUUUAGUGUCAUAAGAGCUUUGCUAGCAUCAAGUCACUGAACUUCUAUCCUGGCUUUUAUUAUUUAAACUACAUUUUCUACCAAAAAAAGAUGACUGGAAUAUUCAACCCUGCCACUAGGACAAGAUUGGCAUGAUUCUAUAAUUGUAGUCAUAGGAAGUGAAUUAAUCCCGUUGAUCAGUGAAAAAUAGUCUCUUUUUAUGUUUUUCUUUUUAUCUCAUUGUAAUUGACAAACACUAAGCAUUUUGCCUUCGUGAGUUAUAAGUUUACAAGCAUCCCUUUAAAUGACAUUACAUAGUAAAGAAGAAAUGAAGUGAGGAACCCCCAAUAUCUAAGAUUGACCAAGCUAUCGUUUAUCAGAACAGAGAUUGUUAUCAUGCAUUAUGGCGGUUCCUGUUAUCACUUCAAGUCAUCUUGACCACAGGAUAAUAUAUAUGCUUCAUGAAAAUAAUGAAACUUUGUCCACGGAAUUCGAUAAAUCAAAGAAUCGAGUGGACAGUCAAACUCCAUCUAUGCCUUAGACUUCUAACAGUUUUGGAUCUACAAAAUGAAUUAUACAGAAUGUAAACAAAAUGAAGACAAGAGACAAAGAGAACAAAUAGCGAAUUUCUAAACUUACAAAUGACUGCUCCGUUACCCCCACAAUUCCGACAAACAGCUCGCUCCUUUGCUUCUGAAGCAAUUGCCUUAGGUCCAGAAACAGAACUGCUAGAAAUGUUUAUCAGUGCUACUGUUGAACAUAAACAAGUCAGACACAAGCGUCGUGAAAUUGAUGUUUCCAAACCCUGUUUCAGAAGAAGCAACCAUCCCAGAUGUAAUUGUUGUACAAUAUAACCCUUCGAUAAUUUUAGCAGCAUAGACAUACAAGUUUCUAAUUCACAUAAACAUUGUCAUUAAAAAAUUUAAAAUCAUCAUUCUUUGGUACAACUAAACUACAAAUGUGGCUACUGAUGUGUGCCUAUUGUAUUCAUAUAAGUUCAGGUUCAAAGGGCUCAAGCAUUCGACAUUUGCAGAUAACUAAAGUCUUACAACAAUGUUGCAUUGGUGCAUAGAUGUAAAACUAAAGAAGCAUAUGCCAUAAUUAGCUUUUGAGCUCCUUGGAAACAACUAAGACUCUAUCAGAGAUUAACAAAGAAAUUAAUUUUCAGGCAGGAAUAGUUGAUAGCACAACUGUAGAACGAGCUCAUGUGGCAUUUCCCUGAUGAAAGUUCUACUCAUCUUCAUUACAGAUAAUUAAAUUCACCCAAAAAAUUCAAAAUUCACAGACGAGCAUUUUCCAUUUCGUAAAACUGUGCAAGGUAUUGAGAAGUUUCAUAUAGCUUCAACAAUUUGUUGACUGCAGUCUGUCUAAAACUGUCAAUGAUCACAUAAGAAACUCAAUAUAAAGUACAAACCGAAUAAGAAAAAGGAUUAAAGAAAGGGGCAGACCACUUUAUCACUGGGUUGUGAUGAAUGGUCUGAGGGAGAGCAAUUCUCAUCACCCAAGCUGCAUCUCAAAUUAAACCUGGCUGGCUCCAAUUUGGCUGCAAUCCCACAUCAGAAAAUCAAUUCUUUAAUCCAAAAACCAGGGGGUUUGGGCGGCGGGGGGAGCACGCCCAUUAUAUUUCAAAUUUUGGGUUUUCUUUAUCUAGUUUGAACAACGAAAGAAAUAUGAAAAAUGAAGUUAAUUGUGCAAAGAAAUUCUAGUAACCAAAAAACAAAAAAAAAAACAGUAGAAAGAGUAUAAAAACAUCAGCUUUAUGCAGUUCUGUGGGAUAUAAUUUGAUAAUCAGCAAAAACCAAAAGUUGAAACCAGUAAGCUAAAACUUUUAAAUUGCUUCAUACCAGUGCAAGAGCUACAUAGAGAAAGAUAAAGAAAGAUACGAUGAAAACACUUGUAAAUUAUGCAGUUAUCUUAUCUGUCUAUCUUCUAUGUAAGCUAUAGCUGCUCUAAAACAUGAAUGUAUGUAAAAGAAACCAUAGAGAUAAAGAAGAGAGGGAGAAUCUGACAAUGGGUUGGGGAAGAUUUGGAGCGUGGUGAAGAGAAGAGCGGGAAAGCUGAGGCCACCGUUGCAGAAUAAUGGGAACAGAGUUGAGACGCCAUUUCUGCUCUGUUACACUCUCCGCUCUCCGCGUGUGGAGGAUAUUGCCAAUUUAUGGUAUUCCUUUAUUGCUUCUUUCUUUCUUUUUUUUCCUUUUCUUUUUUGUGUGAAUUUGGGUAAAUUGAUACAAUGGGCUCUCAAUUUUUUUUUUUUUUGAAUGACUUCAAUUUAGUUACUCAGGUAAUAUUAUAAACCUUACCAAAUUUGUAAUAAAUCCUAUGAGUAAAUAUUUCAUGCACUGACAAGUGACAAUAUACACACUUGUGCAUCCAAUUGCAUUUCCAACAUGUAAAAUUUGUUGUUUAAAUUUAAGUUUAGAUGAUGACACAUGCAUUUAUAUACACAAUUGCAUAUCUAAUUGCAUUCCAAACUUGCAAAGUUUGUUGUUUAAAUUUAAGUCUGGAUGAUAUGACAUGUAUUUUGCCCUUGUGGGGUUGCCAUCCCACAUCGGUUCUUGGGGGGGUUUGGGGUUGGGUUUAUAAGUCCCUGGGAGGACCUCAAAAGUUGCCGGCUUUUGAGGUUUCUUCUGGGAUUAGGUUUAUUAAUCUAACUUUCGUCAAAAAAAAGCCAAUUCUUAGGAAAAGGUCAAGAGGCAAAUUCCUGCAUAGAGUAGUUAUACUGGGUUUCGUGGGGGGUCGUCACUUCUUAGUAGCAGCGGGCCUACUGGCUUGCCCUUAUGGGGUUGCCAUCCUACAUCGGUUCUUGGGGGGGUUUGGGGUUGGGUUUAUAAGUCCCUGGGAGGACCUCAAAAGUUGCCGGCUUUUGAGGUUUCUUCUGGGAUUAGGUUUAUUAAUCUAACUUUCGUCAAAAAAAAAAAGAUAUGACAUGUAUUCAGAUCAAGGUUUUCAAAAUCGGAAUCCUACCUAGGAUCGUUUUUUGGUUGGCAGGAUUGGAUCGUAGAAUCAGUAGAUCCUACAAAAAAAUGUAAUAAAUUGUCAUAUUUAUAAUUUUUAAGUUUGCAAUUCAUAAAUAUAGUGACAAAUAAUGUAAUUCAUGUGCAGUCAAUAUAAUUAUAUUGUUAAUUAAGGUUAAAAUUGUGCUAUAUAAAGUAUUUCGGACAAUUUGAAAAAAUAGAGAGAAAUUUGGGACUACUUAUAAUAUAUUGAUUAAACUUAACAACUUGUUCUUUCUUGUUGUAAAUCCAAAUUCAAUUAUGGAACAAUAUAUAUGGAAAAGCUGACUUUAUAUGUGUAUAAAUCAUCUUAUUAAUAAAAUAGUUAAACACAAUACAUUUAGUUAACUAUGAUUUAGUGAUUGAUUAUUACAUCAUUUUUUUAUAUAAUAGGAUAAUUAAAUAUUACAUAUAUAAUAAAAUGUUUCAAGUAUAUUUUAAUUGAUAGAAAAAUUGGUAUACAAUAAACAAAUAAUUAAAGAAAAUUUUGAGAAUAGAAUUUUGUGCUAAAAAACGUGUAUUUUUUGUUCAAUUUUAUAAUCCACCACUUAUCCACUUAUAAUUAGCAAAAGUAUUAAUUCAUUUCUAAAGACUCUAAACCUUAUUAAUUUAUUAUAAUAAAGACACAAAACACUAGCUCCAUGUGAUAACCUAUAACAAAGAUCAUCUAUUCACUUUAGUGAAUUAUAUGAGUCAAAUUUAAAGAUUCAUCAAAUUUUCUAGGUUUGGAAUUGGGGUUAGUUAUUUACAUGGAUUUGAAGCACUUUGACUAUAGUUUACAAUGCAACAAACAGCACUCAAUUUCGACUUUUCUACACAAAGAUAUGAUCAAAAUACUAAAAUUGUUACUUAAUUUAGUAGAAAGAUUAAUCCAUAUAGUAUAUAAUAAUUCAAGUUUAAGAAUUAGUUAUAGAGUUUAAGAAUUAGUUAGUGUGAUAUGGCAUGCAUUUAGACCUAUCAGUCUAUAUAGAAAGAUUAAUCAUAAUAUGUAAUAAUUCAAAAAUUAAUUAUGUGAAAAGUCACCAAGUUCUUUCUUUCAUUUUGUAGAUAAUCUUAGCUAUAACAAUGUAGGCAAAUUUUCAGCCUUCACGUACGGUUAAAAAUCCAUGAAUUCACCAUUCUUAUAAAUAGGAUUUGGGAAGAUCUUGUAAGAAGUCAGGAUCCUCGGGUUGGUUUUAGUUUGGUGUCUUGAGUUUUGGUCCUUUAGAUUGUGAUAGCUUGGUGUAAUAUUUUACAUUAAAAUUGUGAGCUUUGACUAUGCAUUUUACUCUGGACUCGCUACUUGAGAACCUCAAUAUGAAUGAAAAUUGGAGCCACUAAGUCGACUAGAAGGGAGAAGGGAAAUGAAGAUGUGACAUUUUAAGCCCAAAAAAUGACUAUAAGUAACAUUUUUAUUAAUUCUCUUACACAUUACUUUUGUCAAGCUAAUGUAGUGGCUGAUUCUUUGACUACCAUGGGUAGUUUUAGGCUUUCCUUUCAUUGUUAUUAGUUCCUUUGUAGAUUUGCCAAAACUGAUGAAAGGCCUAUGUAAUGUUGAUAGGUUUGGGAUUGGAUAAAACUCAUAAAACUGAAAUCUGAAAUUUGAAGUCUGAAUCCAUUAACUUAUUGAAUUGUUAAGUAUUAAAUUUAAUAUAUUUGAGUGCGUAUCACAUUCAGUGAUAAGUGAAUUGUUUAUCACUUAAUUUUAGAAGCAAGUUUUGCCUAGAAAAUUCAGUGUUACUUAAUUAAUUCAAAUGUUCAAUUUUUAGUUGUCAAACGGUCUAAAUGUAUUAAGAUCUAAAUCCAUUAAAUUUAAAUACUAAACUGGAUUAUCAAACAGAGCCCUAGACAUUAAGAGAUAAGAUUUUAUGUUCCCCUCAAUUUACAUAUAAUUAUUUUAUUUUUAUUAAUAAAAUGGGUAACCAAACUCACCCGUCAGACAUCAUUGGCGGUUUUGGGAAAAAAAAAAAGAGUAGCACUGGGGAACUGCAUAGCAAUAUAAAAAAUUUGAUAAUGCCAAAGCCAGAAUACUUCCCUGUAUGGGAAGGGACUAAAUUGAUAUCUUCUGGAAAUACGAGGGACCUUUCCAUCAGUUAUGAUCUUUUACUUCCAUGUAUUUGUGUUGAGACUGGGUUUUUGCUGGCGUAAACUUUAUCCACAGUAGCUAGCUCAAAGUACUUGCACAAUCACUAGUAGUUGACAUUCUAAACUAAUCAAACUCUUGAAAAACUUCUGAUAGAAACACACAUACUUGAAUUCGAUUGUACAGCUAUAUAGAGUUUGUCCUGGAUUGCAUCUAAAUAAGUUCAUUCCAAUAGUCUUGUUAAGUGCAACUGCAAAUGCCAUAACUUCACAGAAAUAGUUUCAGAAGUUACUAACAUCAACCAAGAAAGGGCUAUGAACAAAUUCGAGCAUUUGACUAUACCGUCAUUCAGAAGUAAAUGAUAAAAAAAAAAAAAAGAGAGAUAUCUGUUAUAUCCCCAUUCAAGAGUUUAUCCAAUUCUACAUUUUUACUAUGUUGUUGGCAUUCAAAUACUCUGACCUACUUUUACUGUCAAACUGAAAACCCAUUCAACAGCUGAAGGUAAAGGUAAAAUUGUCAAAGUCACUCCCUUCAACUACUGCUGUCUGCUUCUGUGCUUCAGAACAAGUGGUGUUUUUAGGCAUGCUUGAGAAAAGUGCAGACAAAGGAUGGGUCUGAUAUUAGCAUGGAAAUGAGAUUACUCCCAAUUCCCAGAAUCUCCAAGUUUGCAAAUUGAGUUGGCAUUGAUACAAGGCUGCAGUUUCAUCACCAAUGGUGUUAUGGAAUCAGUGAAAUUCAGGAGUAUCAAUGGAUCGAAUUCCAAUUGUGUCAGUAAUCCUGGUCACCACAGACUCCAACCUGACCAACCAAAAAGCAAAAAAGAGUAUCCUGAUGGAAGGAGAUAAGCAGUGAGAUGGGGAAAAAAAAUCUAAAUGGCCAGAAUCAAGACAAAUCUUCUUUUAGAAAGGCCAGAAGAGGCAGCGAUUUGGUUCUUCAAAAAUAUAUCACCACUAUCCCAUGGCCUUAGUUUGAUCAUGUCCAAGCUCAGCACUGUUUUCCUUCAAAAUUAAACUUCGCUUCCAAACUUCAUGACUGCCUGGAAGACACAUGGAUGGAAAAGAAACAGAAAAGCCCAUUAUUUAUCUGAUAAAAGAAAAUGCACAUAACUAGAAAACUGCAUGUCAAUAAACAGAAUUAAGAACAGUACUAAACUGGAGAGGACACAUUCAUAAAAUUAUGCUCAUAAAGGAGAGAAGUGUGAUUAAAGGAAAAAAAAAAAAGUAAUUCUACAAUGGAAGACUAAGAAAUAAAUGAGAUGGUAAAGUAUCUUUAAUUUUUUUAUGGGUUUACUCACAGGAAUAUAGAAUUGUAGGUGAAAACAUGUGGCACAGACGAAGCCGCUAUAAUAGUUAUUAUUGUACAAAAACUCCAUUAGUUUCACCAACCUAUCUCAACUAUCCGAGAAGAAGGUUAACUCAUUUUCUACUAGUGUCAUAAUUUGAUCUCUCGUGAAAACUUACAUGCCUACACAACCACAGAAACGUGUAAUAAGCACUGCCUAAGCUAUCUCCAUAAUGGAACCAUUAAGUGCUCAACAAAGUUUACAUGAACACCCACAAAAAAAACACGUGGCCAAAUUUAUCAUUCACCAUACUUUCUAGGCUGAUAACUCUUCCAUAUUCCAGAACUAAAACAAAAAAAAGCAUUACAUGACAAAGAAACAGAAGGAGAGGUAGCCACUCUUUAGUCCAAUUGCUUUAACACACAAAUCAAACUACCUGUAAUAAGACCGUUAUUAUUCCAAGGCACGAGGAAUUGUUACCAAUUUUUGUAAGAAAAAAUUGCACUCAUUACGAGAUGUGUAAAAUGAACGUCCAGCAAUAUUUGACCAAAACAAGCAGAAUUAAAUAAGUUUUGCCAAUCUAUUUUUCCCUCUUUUAGGGACCUCCCAAAAAGUUCAUUCACAAAAAGGUAAAUGUAAGUGUAACAAUUAUAAGACCGCACGUAAAUUCAGAAUACCAACCUAUCUGACAUCAUCAACUGCAUGUGAUCUUCACAAAAUGCUGGCAAACCUUUUCUCCAAGGCAUCUUGUAAAGCAAGAAAGCACCCCCAAAACAUGAGAUAUCAUGAAGCUGUUCUUUGCCUCAGCAAAGGAAUCAAGCUGCAAAACAAAAGACUCCCUUAUACCUACGAAUUAAAGCAUAGUCCACUCCAACAAGAAAUAAAAACAAUAAUGAGCUGAAAUACUGCAAUCUAUCUUCACAGGAGCCAUAGACCAGCUUAGAGGUAGAGUGACUAUUGCUUACAUGAACUUCAAUCUAUGAGGCCUCAAAUUACAAAACCACUUUUUGGUACUGUUUCAACUGAUUUGAUUUGUACUUCUAUGCCAUGGAUUGCCCAAAUCUUCAGUUCAAGCAUAUGGGUGUGCUUCAUACAAUUCAUUGAUUUAUAAGCUUCAAAUAAUCAUUUCUAGAAGCAGGUGCUUUCACUCUAUUUUUUCAUUCAAGAAAUAUGUCUGUGAUUCACUCCCAGAUCUAACUCUCUCAAAAGAAUGGCACAGUCCUUUUCACAUUCUUUGUCAUUGAACCAACUGCAUUUUUUCCACAAUCCCAAUUCACUGAUUAGCUGCAACAAAGACCUCCUUCAAUAACUCCAAAUGUUACCUUCUUAAACCAGGGAAAAAAAUACAAUUAAGGCGUUAAAUCAUCAUUUCAUAGACGUUUAAGGAUACAAGUCAGUGAAGGGGAGAAAAGAAGUAAAGUGUCUAAAUUUUUUUUUUUUAAAAAAAAGACCAACAAAAACAGCAGAAGGGACUGAAAUACAAAUUUAAGUGAAUGAAGCCAUUCUGUUAUGCAAUGAUUUUAGAAAAGAGGAACAAGACUCCAACUCAAGCAUAAAAUCCUAUCAAGAGAGGGAAAGAAAAUGAAAUAAAAAAAUAAUCAUCUUAUAAAUGGAAUUCUUAUUUUUUUUUUAAAAAAGCAGCAGCAAAGACAAUCAGACUCUCAACAUAUCAUUUCCAACAACUUACCACCAUAAUAGACUCAGAACAGCUUCUAUGUACAAUUUUAAUUUACUCCAUCUUAAAAACUGCCUGAAAGUAUAGAUUUGCUCAAUCCAAGUAAAGUCAUGGGCUUAUCCCCAUCCAGCUAGCCACAAUGCAUCUUCAUUUGCUAAACAUCUUAAGAAUAUCCAUGCUUCUAUGAAUUGAGCUACAAAUCCUCCAAUUUUUUGUCCAUCUCAAUAAUGCAAACAGAUCAUUUAUCAUGUGAAGUUGUCCAUUUGGCCUAUCAGCAAAACCUCCACUUACUACAACUGAGCAAAAUUACUAUUUUGUUUAAAUUUAGAAAAUAUAUGAAGGAAAAAGAAAAAGGGAAUUCUUAACGUUCCAUUAUUGCUGAAAGUCAUAGCCUUCCGCCACACCAUAUCUCUUCUUUUUUAUUAAAUUUCAUUUUCAUCCAUUAACAUCCCUAAUCCUACCUUCCAAACUGGCUUUUUGGGACUCGUAGCAUAUAAUGUGAACCAAACAAUAUAAAAGAAAGAAUUGAGUUAUAAAUAGAUCAGAAUACUAAACUUAACUGCCAAGCCAAGAGAAUAAGCCAGACCUCCUAAAACAUGAUGGUUAUUAACAUGAAUGAAAAUACAUAACAGGCAAAAGUCUGGACAUAAAAGUCACCAGCGACGAGACAGAAAACGAGUACAUCACCAAAACAGAUCAACCAGAAAAUCAAACAUAAAUAAGCAGUCAAAGGAUAAAAAAGUUAAAAAGGAACAGAUAAGUAAGUAGAAUUAUGUGCAGUAAUACGGAGGUCGAUGCACCAUACAGGGUUAAAGCAGUCCAAAUACAAUACACAAGACUGGGGAAAAAAAAAUCCUUUGCCUGGUAUUACUGGUUACCCAGGAUUUCUUCCACAAAAAGAAAACUCACAAUGUUGGCAAUGUCUCUUGGAGAAUAGUUGAAAACCAGGAAACCAAUGCAUGAUAGAAUCCCCCAAGAACAGCACAUUUCUCAUUUUAUCAUGUUAUAAAUAAAACUUUUAAAGGUCCAUCAAACAAAGAUUCAAGGAAUCUAUUAGCUGACUGAGCAUGUGCAAGUAGCAGAUACCAUCUUAAAACCCAAAUCUUGCAUUUUGAUUUGUUAAUCAAUGCUUAAUUAAUUACUGCAGAUAGCCAAGUGGGUGAGGGACAUACUCACCUUGAAGCAUCUAUUUUUCCUUAUUUCAUAGGUAGGAAUGAGAGGUUUUAUCUCCCUACCCACCCAUAAUAAACCUUGAAACUUUGAACAAAAGAACAAUGAAAGGAAUUCAACAAGCAGAAAAGUUUUCCUCUAAAGACAAACAGCAGGUACUUAAAAAAUUACAAUCCAAGAAAGCAAAAGAGGAAGAGAAGGAAAGCAAAGAUACAAUCGUGUGCGAAGAUCUUAUACUGACAAGUAGACCUCUUAUUACUAAAUUCAUGAACAAUUUAGGAAAAGAUAUUUCAACACUAUCAAGAAUGUGAAAAGCUAAAUUGACCAGAUAUGGUAUUGUAGGGCCCAUCUUAAGAAUGCACUAAGAAAGCAAUGAAAAAGACAAAUAUGGAUGUUUCCAUCCCAUCUAUACAAAGAUUCCGAAAAAAGACAAAUCUCCUCUCCGAUUCCCAUCUAGUGGGGUGUUUCAUUAAUAAUCUAAUCAAUAAGAAAUACAGGGGUUUAAAAAAAGUAACUUCGUAUGCCUUUUUUACUCACCAGGACAAAACAUUUCAAAAUAGGAAAAGGUUCUGUCUUCACCAUUUGUUACUGGGUGAUCAUAUUCCACCGCGAUCAGCCAACAGUUCAACAAGUGGGUUAGCUUCUCCUAAUGAUGAUGAAUUGACUUUAUCAGAUACAGUAGUUUGAUGCAAGUUAUGAUCUAUUUCUAACCAACUAAGUGCUUGUUCUUUGCUAACAUUCCACUCAUUCAUUAGCUGUCUCAACCUCAUCACAGAGUCCCACUUGCCAAGUGCUGCAUAUAUUCUUGACAGUGAUAUGUAGAUUGCUGGUGAUUGAGGAUUCAACUGAAGAAGGUGUUUUGCUGCUAUUCUUCCCAGCUCUAUAUUUCCAUGCAUCGUACAAACACCAAUUAAGGCAUUCCAGACAUGUUCGUCCGGUUUGCAUGGCAUCUUUCUUAGAUGAUCCAUUACCUCAUGGAAUCGUCCUGCUCGACCUAAAAUAUCAAUUAAGCAAGAAUAAUGUUCCUGAUCUGGAACAAUAUUGUGAUCGCGAUUCAUUGACUCAAAUAACCUAAGUCCCUCGUGCACAAGCCCUGAGUGACUACAUGCACUGAGAAGAACAAGAAAGGUGAUUUUGUCUGGUCUAACGCCCACUGUCACCAUUUCAGCAAACAAAUUUAUUGCUUUCUCACCAGAACCAUGCUGUGCAAGUGCAGAUAACAUUGUGUUCCACAAUACUACGUCUUGUUUGUCACCCACAACAUCAAAAACUUGCUUUGCAAGUUCCAGACAACCACACUUUGAAUACAUGUCAAUGAGAGAACUUAAAACUAUUGAAUUAGGCCUAAAUUUAAUCCUUAUCAAAUGUGCAUGGAUUUGUUUACCAUGUUUGAGUGAGGCUAUACUUGCACUAGCACAGAGGCAACUACUAAAAGUAAACUGAUCAGGUCUAAUGCAAAGCAUCAUCAUCUUCAUAAACAAGUCAAGGGCCUCAUGUCCCUUGUUAUUACGAGCAUAACCUGAAAUCAUAGCAGUCCAAGAAACAGGAUUCCUUUCAGGCAUCACAUCAAAUAACACCCUGGCUGACUCCAUAUCACCCCAUUUGGCAUAUCCUGAUAUCAAAGUGGUCCAAGCCAGAACAUCCCUUCUUCCCAUCUGAUCAAAUAAUUUCCUGGCAUCACCCAAUUCCCCACAUUUAGCAUAUGCAUCAACAAUGGAACUAGAAAGGACCACAUUUAGUGAAAACCCUGCUACCAAAACUUGAGAGUGGACCUGCUUUGUUAGCCUCAACUCCCUUAACUUCACACAAACCGUCACCACUCCAGCAAAGCUAUACUCAUUAAACCCAAUAACUGACCUCCUCAACUCUUUAUAAAACCUCAAAGCUUCAUCACAUAUACCACUCUGCGCGUAGGCAAUUACCAUAGUAUUCCACGAUACAACGUCCCUCUCGGGCAUUUUAUCAAACAACCUCCUUGCAGGCUUUACCAUAAGUUGUUUAGCAUACCCAGAAAGCAUGUUGUUCCAAGAAUACAAAUUUCUUAAGCUCAUUUUAUCAAACACUCGGCGUGCUUCAAUGUGAUCGCCGCAUUUACCGUACAUAUUGAUCAAAUGAUUGGCUAAAAAUGCAUUGGGGUGUUUUAGACCAGUAACCUUUAUAUGGAGGUGAACCCAUCUGCCCAAUUUCAAAUUCUUGGACUCAGCACACUUCUGUAUGAGAAAAGCUAAUUUUUUACAGUCCAAACGAAUGCCCUUUUGCGCUAAGAGGUCUAAAGACUUGACAGCUUCUUGAAGGUGACCUUGAGAGCAAAGAUUCAGAAAGUUUUGGACUAUGCAAGUAUUAUUCUUGUUACUGGGCUUAAAUGACGGCUUGAGAAUGCGAGUUGGGGAGAAGAGAAAGGGCAUUGCAGGAUGCAAACAUAUGGGAUGGCGGCGGCACGCUGUUGUUCUUCAUUUAUGUUGUGAUGAAGUCAUUGAAAUCAACCGCUGUAAUAUGAGCUCCGGCGAGUAUCGCCGGUUCAGAUUGGCCGUCGGGAGAGCAAAAUGCAGAACCCACUAGUCAAAAUUAUUCAUAAAUGGAAAUCAUGCAAAUUUUCUAAUGAUUUACCGUUUUCAGUGUGUAGUGUUAUGGGUGAGCUGGUCCAAAAGCGCAACUAGACCUAAGAUAAUACAAAUACUACCUAUUAUGUAUUAUUGCUCACUAAACAAUGUACAAAAAAACUCAGCCAAUAGGCAUUGGUUAAGAUGAGGUCUAGUUUUUGAGGAAAAAAAUGAAAAAGUGAAGGUAAAUGUGAAACAUGGGAGAGUUUAGACUAAACAUUUUUUAGAUACUUAUAGAGCUUUUAACGAAUCGAACUGUUUGUAAACGUAUUCAUGUUCGGCUCGUUCGAAAUCGAAAAAAGGUCAAUCAUUUAAUAAACAAAUCGGUACUCGAAUAUUUAUACAAAUAAACGAAUUGAAUUCAAAAACUCAUUAAUAUUCGAGUUGAACUCAAACCCUGUUCGUAUAAUAUACAAACAGAGUUUGAACACCAAAUACUGUAUUCGAUUCAGCUCGUAAAAAUUCUAGGACUCAGAACCUAAUUAGUGUAUGAAAUUGUAAAUGGUUUUAUAAAGGUUGGAAGCUUUUUAUAGGGUUCAGAUAGAGUUCAUCUAAAUGGUUGAAUGUCCGUUCCAAUUGCAAUCCCAAAUUGAAGGUUUCGUUAUUUGUUGUGCAAGAAGGAAAGCUUGAUGUGAGUUGGUCACACUUAUGUUAGUCACUUUCUCUUAUUUAUUUUCAAAUUUAAUUGUUUGGUUGUUGAGUAAAAGUAUUUGUCAUAAACAAAUCAACUUUUAUCUUAAGUUAAUUAGUGAAAGUGAGAGAUGAUUGUGUCAUAUUGAAUUUGAUUAUAAAAGGAUUAAAGGUACAUUUCAUAUUCUUAAUAGCAAUUGUACAAUUUAAAUCGUUUCCAUUUGUUGAAAACAAAUAAAUUGUACAAUUUAAACACUGUAAAAUUCAAAAAUGAAGGAAAAAAUCAAAUUGUGGUCUUUAGGUAGACUAACAAAGAACAUAGUAACAUUUAUUUUUAGGUGGAAAUAGGAAAGUUUGGUGCUAAUGAUAAGAAUAGCAAGUCACGCGCUUCUUCUAUUCACCAAAAAAAAAGGGAAUAAGAAUGCCAAUUCUUUUUCUAUAUGAUUAUUCACGAAUAGCUAGCCAAAGCAGAAACUCGCAGACUCAUUUUUUGUAAUUUCAACUUCAGAUGUCUAGAUUUCUAUCUUCAAGGGUUUUAAACCAACUCAAUUUAUGUACAUUACCUAAUCCCCCCUUUUGGUUCAUAUGCGGGUAUAGAUAAAUAUUUUCAAUUAACUCCUUUUUUCAACGCAUUGAUUUCUGAACUUUCUCUGCCUCAUUUUAUCACUACAAAACAUGUUUAAAAAGAAGGGGGGGGGGGGGGGGGAUUCCAGGCUCAUAACAGGCACCUCUACAAUCACCAUCAAGUAUAUAUUUCCACAAGAACAAUCUUUACAUUAGGCCAUGGAUUCUUCCGAGGCAUCUAAUCCCAGAGCAACUUUGUUAUCAAAUAUCAAGGGCAAGAAAUGAGGAAAAAAUCUGGACAAAUGUCCAAACAUAAUUCAAUCUUCUCCGCUGGAUCCUCACAAUUAACUACAGACUUCCUGGUUCAUGCUCAGAAUCAACACACAGUCCGCCCAUAGCACAGGGAAGCAAGAUAGAGGUUCUUUGCCCAUUUUUCCUGCUUAUAGUAAACACAUACAGAGACAACAAAGUUAACCUCCACAAUAAAUGAAGUAUUUUGAUAACAAGAUCCUUGUCCGCCAAACCAAACUGCAGGAUAGCCCUUCGGUAUGCAAUAAAGUUAAAGCAACAACGAUUGAAAACGACAGGUUACAAGGUUCAAAUAGCACAUCCCAACAAAUAUUUACCUUAACAUGGGUGCUUGGGAACUGAGAUGUUCUUAGAGUUUCCUGAGUCUCAUCAAGCAGUUUGCGCCGAGGCACACUCAAGAUAAGAGCAGCUUGAUCCCAGGUAGCAGCAGUGGCUGUAAUUCGGUAACCACUAUCCCACCGUUUAUGAAUGCCCUCACUGGGAUAAAGAAAAUCAAGCUCCACAACCUGGAAAAACAAAGAUAUCUCAGUCAAAACGUUUUAUGCUUAACAGAAAUAAAGACACAUCCAGGACAGUAAUAGGGAACACAAGGCACUCUUCUGACGGUAACAGCCCAUGUUUUUUUAAAAGAGGUGGGGAAUGCCAAGUUUCUGUUAAUUCAUAGCUCAAUUCCUUUCCCUUCUCCCUGUCAAUUAACAUAACAACUGUGAACAGCACCAAUAAGACUUUAAAGUUUAAACGGCAUGCAUACACCCCAAAAAAAAAUAAUAAAGAAGGGACAUAAAACUCUUCUAGGCAAAAAUUCUCAAGACAUUCCACUGCAUGAAGAAGAUAAAAAAGGGCAAUUUGCACCAGUUGCACAGCAUCCACUGUUGUCUAAGUUGAAUCAAUCUAAGAUGGCGAUUUUUCCAUUUUCCCACCCUAGCACAAAUGUCUAAAAAUGCAAAUUAGUUCAAUGGUUUUGAGGCAAAAUGUCUAAAAGUUUGUGCAGCUGAUAAGGGGUGAAUUGGGUCAAAUCUGCAAAAUAACCAGAAAACGAAGAAACAAGUAACCUAACCUGAUCACUGAAGCCAGAGUUUCGGGACAUGACCACAGCCCACCGAGUACCAGCAGUAGCCAUAGAUGUCACGUGAAACCCUUCCUUCCACUUCUUGUUAAUCCACUUGAAUGGAAAGGAAUCACUUACUUUGUAAGAUUGUUGGUUAUACAUGGUGCCUGCAGAGUAACAGGAAUUUAGUAUUAAGAGGCAAGAUAUUCAACUAAUAAAACUGAUCGAUCACACGUCCAAGGUUACAAAAAAUUAUUAUGCAUACAACUUUUUGCUCAAAAAGAGGAAAAGUAAAAAUAGUAAACCAGGCUAAACCAGGCUUCAUGCUAAUUCCCAAGCCCAAGGAGAUAAACUCCUGGUCCUUCCUCUUUUCUUUUUUUUUUUUUUGGGGUGGAGGGGACAAGGGUUGCAAAGGAACAAUAAAUCACAACUUGAUGUGGCAUGGACACUUGCAAAAUGAAAAUUGAGUCAUCUGUCCAGUAUUAGCACAAAAAUUGAAAUUAUACAGCACAACCAGAAUGAAGCAAUUUUAGAGUAUUAGCACAUCCCAGUCUCACUUUGUUCCCUCAAGAGACAAAUACUUAGCACAAGAAAUCUGUCAAUCUGAGCUCUACAAUGGUUCACAUAGACUAAUCUCCACAGAGACAAGCCACUGUUACAGCUCACCCAAAUGGACAAGAUGCACAAAUAAUGGUAGCAAUACUUAAGAAUUGUUUCCCUAUUCUUGAUUCAUCCGAAAGCAUUUUAGCAAGUAUAAUUAUGUUUAACUGAUUGAUAACAGACACCAUAUUUUGCAAUCUUACCUUUUGACAUUACCACUAACGAACUUCCAUUGGUUGCACCAGCAAGACAGCUGAUAUAGUAGUUCUUGUCCCACUGGUCCAUAAUCCACUCCUGUAAUAAAAAAAUAAUUGCACUUAGAGGUCACUUGGUCGGUGAAGUUCCAGAUAAGGACAAUAUCUCUGUUUGUCAACAAAACAGGUUAUGCAAAUAACUUACCUUGUGCAAGAAAAAAGGUGAUAUCUCAAAAACUUGGCUUGUAAAAUUAGUCCCAGCAUCCAUAAUAAUAGCCCACAAGUUGGAACAUGAUGCCACAGAACUUAUAUACAACCCAUCUUCUACCCCUCUUUCUACAUGUUGCGCUAAUCUUGCAUCCGAUACAUUAUAAUGGUACCUUUUGUGUAGAACCAAACAAAAAGAGGAUAAAAAAGGGUAUUCAAUAGGCAAUGACAUUAUGGCAAUGGCAGAGGACUAUCUACAUAUAUAAAUACACACGCACACAUAUACACAUACACAAUAGUCCUUUUGUCAUUUUCCCCAACUUUUUAUCCAAAAUUUUUUUUCUUUUAGGUUAUGUGGGUAAGCUUCACCAUCCCAGAACCACUGACAAAUAUAUUCUGGUCUAUUUUCCCCCUUUAACAGAAGCAGCCGGAACCAAAAAAGAACAAAGAGGAAACAAUGCUUCCAAUCUAUGUUCAAACCAAGUACUUACUGUUUCAGGAUUCAGAUUAGACAACAGAACACCCCGGUAACUUGAGAAAUAAAACAAUAUCAGAUAGCAUGAACUGAACUACCACCAUUCUAAGAGAAAGAUCUUUUUUUUUAACCUCUGUUUCAUAGGCUUCCUAGCAUUGUAAAUUGAAACCCAUUGUGAUGCUGGGACUCCCAUACGAACUUUCUUCCUCGGCUGUUCCUCUUCAUCCUCAUCAAGAUUCAAUCUGGGUCGCUUUUGGCCGAUUUGGAUAAUCUAGCAAAAAAGUUAAUAAAUAAAAGCUAUAAAAUGAUUAUGAACAUCAAAUAAAGGAAAGCAGAACAUGUACUCGGGUAAUAAAAGAAUCACCUUUUGAGCACCAUCUGUAUUUAAUGGUCGGGUUGCAGGAUCGGCAGCAAUCAUACCCUCAAAAAUAGAUAUUAACUUUGAAUACUUUGGCUCUUCGUCAAAUUUCAAGUUAACAACAGUUUCAAGAAAUUCUCUGAGAGGGGCAGGGCAAAAGCAACAUAGCGCUUCAGGAGCUGUUGCCAUCUUUUUCUUAGCCACCUGGAAUGAUUUGUUAUCACCCUGAGGUAAAAAGAUUGAACACGAGUAAAACAGCUGAAGAGGACAUCAGAAAAAUAAAGUAGACAUAGGACUUAGCUGAAUACUCCAAUCUAAAGGUCAGAAAGUAGGACAAGGAAGUACCUGAAAACCUUGCCAUGGCAACCUGCCUCUGUGGAGAAAAAUAAGCGUAUAUGCAAGCGAUUCUAAAUCAUCCCUUCUACUAGCAGUCCUUCCUAAGUGAGCAUGCACACUAGCAUAGCGGACAGUCCCUCUGGGACAUCACCAGAAUAGGGGGAAAAGGGUAUUUAGUGGAAGCAGAGUUAUUCGAACAUCAGACUUUACAGUAUGAGCAACAUUCACCUGAAUAUGUCAGGACGUUGAUCAUAUUCAACAUGUUGCCCCCUGGUGCUGUCUCUCCACUUAGUUGCUGCAAUAAACGCAUAGACAUAAGUAAAAUGGAAAGUAUGGGAAAUUGUUAAAAAAAAAAGAGAAGAACAAAUUAGAAGUCUAUUAGGUUGUGUGUCUCACCUAAUCCUAAAUCUACAAGAA
rnacentral:lncRNA from 1 species